rnacentral:rRNA from 1 species
AUGCAUCGUCUUAAAGAUAUACAGAAUUUUAACAUCGAUGUAUCGAGAUCCGAGGUGAAAGAAGCAUGCCCACUAAAUUGUCCUUGCGAUGGCUCAAAGGAUUGGAGAUCCCAAACUAUCUCCUUGAAUCUUCGAAAAGUGAAAAUUGAAGGCUUCAAAGGGAAGAAUCAUGAGUUAGAUUUCCUGAAAGUGGUACUUAGAUGCUCGCCAAUGCUUAAAAGUGUGACUGUGAAGCUGCCAGAUCAAGACAUGCCAAGUGAUGAUUGGUGCACAAAAAUACACAAUAUUUUUGGAGAGUAUCCAUAUGUAGAAGGCAACAUUGAUCUUAUCUCUGGUUAG